rnacentral:rRNA from 1 species
UACGUAGGAGGCGAGCGUUGUCCGGAAUUACUGGGCGUAAAGAGCGCGUAGGCGGCACUGUACGACCGCUGUGAAAGCCCCGGGCUCAACUGGGGAGGGUCAGUGGUAACGGCAGAGCUGUGAGUGCAGGAGAGGGAAGUGGAACUCCGGGAGUAGCGGUGAAAUGCGUAGAGACCCGGAGGAACACCAGUGGCGAAGGCGGCUUCCUGGUCUGCGACUGACGCUGUGGCGCGAAAGCUAGGGGAGCGAACGGG